UACGUAGGGGGCUAGCGUUGUCCGGAUUUAUUGGGCGUAAAGAGCGUGUAGGCGGCCAGGUAGGUCUGCUGUGAAAACUCGAGGCUCAACCUCGAGACGUCGGCGGAAACCAUCUGGCUAGAGUCCGGAAGAGGAGAGUGGAAUUCCUGGUGUAGCGGUGAAAUGCGCAGAUAUCAGGAGGAACACCGGUGGCGAAGGCGGAUCUCUGGGCCUUACCUGACGCUGAGGCGCGAAAGCUAGGGGAGCGAACAGG
rnacentral:rRNA from 1 species